rnacentral:rRNA from 1 species
UACAGAGGGUGCAAGCGUUAUUCGGAAUUACUGGGCGUAAAGCGCGCGUAGGCGGAUUAUUAAGUCAGUUGUGAAAGCCCUGGGCUCAACCUAGGAACUGCAUCUGAUACUGGUAAUCUAGAGUUUAAGAGAGGGAAGUGGAAUUCCAGGUGUAGCAGUGAAAUGCGUAGAUAUCUGGAGGAACAUCAGUGGCGAAGGCGACUUCCUGGCUUAAAACUGACGCUGAGGUGCGAAAGCGUGGGUAGCGAACGGG